rnacentral:lncRNA from 1 species
ACCACCAAAGGGGGUUUGCUUAUAGCCGAAGCCACUGGAGUUUCCGACACUGCUCAAGGGUAAUUUUACAUCCGUUUAACUGUUUUAAGAGUUUUUUGAGGCAUUAAAUAGAUAGGAAAUUGUAUGUUUGAGUUUCGAAAGCAUUACCUGUAUUUAGUUGCUUGAAAAUCUUGUGUGUUCUGUUAUUUCUUUUAUUGUAAGGUAUCCAGAUACGCCUGGUAUCUGGACAAAGGAGCAAGUUGAAGCAUGGAAACCAAUUGUAGAUGCUGUUCAUGCCAAAGGUGGGACCUUCUUUUGUCAGAUUUGGCACGUUGGCAGGGUUUCAAAUCAAGGUGUGUUCUAUAUCUCUCUCUUCUAUUGACAGUUACUGGUUACUUAGUUAUCAGGAUCAUACAUACAUUUUAUUUCUGACAAUAAGAUAAGGUACCGUGAGCUUAAGCUAUUGAAUUGCAGUAAUCUAAUAUGAGGCAAGUGUUGAGAGAAUAAGCAGCUCGGAUUAAUCAAAUGCUCAAAUUGAGUACUGAUCAUCCUACAGAUGCACCAUCCUUUUGCAUUUUAUUUUCAGUUAAUAAAAUGACAUUCAAUAGUUUUUUUAAAACCUCCAUGUGAUGGAUCUGACUGAUUUUAUAGAAAUUUGAGAAUCAUUUCAACUGGAUCUUCAUUGGUUUUUCCUGUCUUCGAACUGUACAGAUUAUCAGCCAAAUGGUCAAGCUCCAAUUUCCAGUACAGACAAGCCAUUGACACCUCAAAUCCGCGCUAAUGGUGUUGAUAUUGCACAAUUCACUCGUCCAAGGCGGCUAAGGACAGAUGAAAUCCCUCAAAUUGUGAAUGAUUUCAGGCUUGCUGCAAGAAACGCAAUUGAGGCUGGUAAAUUCUUUUUUCUGAAAUUAAAAAUUGAAUUGUGGGCAAUAAGUGUUUUAAGGUCGCCACAGGAUGGGUGAUAUUUCAAUGGUCUACUUUUCUUGAGAUUAAGGAAAAUAGUAUAAAAGAAUAGUGAGAUUCUUCCAUUCCAUGCAUGGCUAUCAGAAGGAAAGGGAAACUAAACAUAAAUGCAUUAAUAGAUUUUUACUAGGCUUUUGUGGCUUGUAAAUAAUGUUGUUUUAUUGUACUGUAAGGUUUAUGUGAAAACAAUUAAGUUUCUUUACAAUUAUGCUUAUUGUCCCAUAGUUGUAUUUAUCAUAUUGAAUAAAGAAUUUGAAAACUUAAACCUUAACUUUGAGAGCCAACCUAGUAAAUGCUUAAAUACUUUUUCUUGUUCUUAAAAUGAAAGCUAGACCCUCCGUCUGUCUGUCCGCACAAUGCGAGCCUCAGAGCUUUCAGUUAUAUGAGAAGAGUUAGAUAAAUGGAGUGUUCAUGCUGUACAGGUUUUUGGUUUCUAACUUUGUCUUAUGCUGUAUAGGUUUCGAUGGCAUUGAGCUCCACGGUGCACAUGGCUACCUAAUUGACCAAUUUAUGAAGGAUCAAGUGAAUGAUCGAACAGACCAGUAUGGAGGAUCCUUAGAGAACCGUUGCCGUUUUGCUUUAGAAAUAGUUGAAGCUGUUUCCAAUGAAAUAGGGGCAGAUAGGGUUGGGAUAAGACUAUCUCCGUUUGCAAACUAUAUGGAAUCAGGNNNNNNNNNNNNNNNNNNNNNNNNNNNNNNNNNNNNNNNNNNNNNNNNNNNNNNNNNNNNNNNNNNNNNNNNNNNNNNNNNNNNNNNNNNNNNNNNNNNNNNNNNNNNNNNNNNNNNNNNNNNNNNNNNNNNNNNNNNNNNNNNNNNNNNNNNNNNNNNNNNNNNNNNNNNNNNNNNNNNNGCCCCCCUCAAUAAGUACAACAGAGAAACAUUCUAUGUUUCCGAUCCUGUUGUUGGUUACACGGAUUAUCCCUUUCUCGACACCUCUUCUUAUGUUACCAAGAAAAAGCAUUAGAUUGAUAAAGCAUUCUCUCAGAUUUAAUCUUGUUUUCUGAAUUUUUAUACAUGUACUGUGUUUAUGUAAAAGCCAAUAUAGGUUAUCUCAAUAAAAUUGUAUUGGCGUAAGGCCAAGCUCUAUACCUAUACGUUUCACAUACACUUCCUCUCUCAUUCCAAUUGAGACUGCAAUUCUCAAAAAUCACAAGGAUAAAAGAAAGACGAGGCAUUGUGGUAUCAAACUCAAAACCAUCCUUUCGUCUCAUAAAUUGGAAAACGAAUUAUCAUGGAGCAAUUCAUCACCAGCAUGUUUGAAUACGCACUUAGCUUUCCCUUCAGUUAAUUUCAAAAUACUUGCACUACUCCAAAUUGACAAAACAUAAAACAGGUCUUCACACGUGUGCAUACGGGCUUGGCCCAUUUCUCAGCCGUUUGAUGAAAACUAAAUAUAUAUAUUAUUUUGGAUUAAAAAUCAGUUAGUAGAAUUGAUUUGAAUUGGUCAAGGUUCGUAUCUAAAAUAAAUAUUUAAUCUAAAACUAUAAAAGAGUAAAACUAAACCUAAUUGUAUUCGAUUAACACCACACAUGUACAGAAUAACAAUGACACAUAUACUCUUUCUUUUAUAGUACUUUUUCUCUGAAAGGUACUAGAAUGAAAGGAGACUGAAGCCUAUUUUGGCUUUUUCAUUCGCUCACUAGUUGGGUGUUCUUUUACAAUUUUCCAUAGUACUUCUCGAAGGAAUUUGGGUGAUUGACUCCUUCUUUUAGCUUUUAUUUGCGGAUAAUAGAGGGUAGGUGGAUUCAGAGCUAAGUAUGGAUACAGAGGAUUUAUUGCGCAAGUGUCAGGCUGUCGUUCUAAAAGAAGAAGAAGCAGGCAUAGUAGCAUUCAUGGGGCAAAUGAGGAUUAAGGGAGAAGAAGUUGCUGCGAAUUGUCUAGUAGGGAAGGUGUUGCUUUCACGAAGCAUAAACUGGGAAGGCUUGAAAACAGCUAUGCAAACGGCUUGGAGAAUAGUGAAGGAGGUAAAAAUUAAAAGCAUGGGGGAUAAUAUUCUUCUCUUCAAGUUUGCUUCAGAAUAAGAAAAGAAAAGACUGCUUAUAGGAAGGCCAUGGCAUUUUGACAGAGCACUGAUAGUUUUGAUCGAACCAUCCGACAUUGGUGAUAUCAAAAAUCAAUUCUUUACGCAUACAACAUUUUGGGUGCAGAUCCAAAAUAUACUCAUAAUGUGCAUGAACAAGGAGGCAAUUGAAAAACUAGGUGAAAAGAUUAGUGAGGUCAAGAAAAUAGAGACAGACGAAGCUGGGGAUUGCAUAGGACAAUUUGCUCGAGUAAGAAUCUCCCUUGACAUUACUCAGCCAUUAAAAAAGAUUGUGUUUUUACAACAAGAUGAAGGAAAAAUUCCAAUGCCAAUCCUGUAUGAAAAGCUACCGGACUUUUGCUUUUGUUGCGCGCAUGUAGGUCAUCAGUACAGAGAGUGCCUGAGGUACAAAGGACAACAAAAGGAGGAUCUGCCUUACGGGGAUGGAUGAGAGCAGUCACUCAGGCUGAAAGGGUAAAACAAAAUCGAAGUAAAGGGAAAGGCAAUUGAGAACAAUUCCAUUCCAGAGCAAAUGAUUCAGCAACAACUAGCCUAAGGCCAUACCAGUCUCAAAACAACUCGGAUAGUCAAAAUGGGUCUUACCUGAUCGAAUCGGGUCCGGAGAUAGAUAAUGGUGAUGAACCAGUGGGUAAAAACAAGGAACCAAGAGCUGAUGGGCAGCAUCUAAUGUUGAGUGUAACAUAGCAGGAAAACCAGCAAGUGGUGCAUUAAAGCAGGGUGGUGACAUCAACAAGUUGCAGGACAGAGUGACUAGUAAUGAAAAUGAAAAUCUUGCAGGGUGGUGCCAAUCUAGAUAUGAACGCAAAAAAAGGCAGAAAAGAAGGAUUGGAGGGAAAAUGAAAAUCUUGUAGAAAAAGAUAAUGUGGGGAAGAUGGAAAAUAAAAUGGAGGAGGACACAUGGGGUGCCAGAUCAGAUGAAGAGGAUUUGGAUGAUGGGGCCAGCAAGGCCACCGUGAAAUCCAAAGGAAGAAAAUGGAAAUUACGGGCAAGAAACACCAAAGGAGAAGGAGCAAAUAAUAUUACUUUCAUAGGAAGUAAAAGACACAACAGUGAAGGUCAUGGGCCUAGCCCAGAGAGCAAAAAGAAGUGAGUGUCCAGUCCAAAAAAGCAACUGUAGGAAGGAAAACACAUAAGCCUAGCAAAAGCAUUAGGCAACUGCAACCAUUUUAGCCCCAACAAAGUAGCUCGCUAGCUGAAGCAAGCAGAAUAAGUGCUAGAUGCAGGGGAAAACUUGGAAGCAAUGGAUGAAGACCUAUUGGCGGGUACUGAUGAUCAGCCUCGCCGACAACCAUAAAGAUCCUCAGCUAGAACGUUCGAGGUCUGAGGAAGCCUCAAACGCACUUAGCAAUUAGAAAAGUUCUAUAACUGCACCGGCUCCAAAUACUAUUUUGUUGUGAAACUAAGAUGAUGGCUAGGUAGGUCAAUUUAAUUUACAGAAGUUUUAAUUUUGUAAAUUGUUUUGCUGUGGACAGAAAUGGUUUGGGUGGAGGCCUAGCUAUGCUCUGGGGAGCAGACAUUAAUGUCAAUAUCACCUCAUACAGGCCCCACCAUAUAGAUGCAAUAGUGAGUAGUGAAAGUGGCUUGGUUUGGAGAUGUGCGGGGAUUUAUGGCCACCUAGAGCUCAGCUAGAAGCGCAGUACAUGGACCCUUCUAAAAAGGUUAGCUAAUCUUUCGUCCCACCAUUGGUGUUGCUUUGGGGAUUUCAAUGAAGUGAUGCAUAUGUUUGAGAAAAAUGGGAGCAACGAGAAGAAUGUAAAUGUGGUUGUCGAGUUUAGAGAGGUUGUGGGCUGCAAGGGGUACCCGUAUACAUGGUCUAAUAAGAGAUUUGGUUCUAAUUACAUAGAAAAAUGGCUGGACAGAUUCUUGUGUAGUAAGGAUUGAGGCAACAAAUUUUAAGACUCUACAGCCAUAAACCUUGUUAAUUGGGUCUCAAAUCACUGCCCAAUAGUCUUAGAAUUCAAAUAGAGAUGCAAGAAGUCGAGGACUGUGAGCAGAUCGUUUCCCCGUGACCACUAUGAGGAUAUGUGGAGUUCUUACGAAGACUGUAGGAGCAUAGUAAAGGAUGAGUGGGGAAACUAUGGGGCUAGAGCUUGGGAGGAUCCUGCUCACCAAUUUCAGUGGAUAGCAAAAAAGUCUUUAGCUUAGCUUAAACUUUGGAGUAAAAACGAAUUUGAAGGAAGACAAAGAAAACAAGAAAAGUUGUUUCAGAGCCUUCAGAAUGCUAUGCAAGGAAGCUCUAAACUGACUGAUGGAGAGGAGAUCAGGAAGAUUGAAAGCUAUAUCAAUUCCAUGCUUAUUGACGAGGAGAUCUAUUGGAAGCAACGAUCGCGGGCUGACUGGCUAAGAGAAAGAGACAAAAACACUAAGUUUUUCCAUGCCAAGACUUCUGCCCGUAAAAAAAAGAAUAAGGUGUGGGGGGUAGAAAACUCUCAAGGCGUCUGGCUAAGGGAGAUAGAUGAUAUAGAAAAGGAAUUCUGCUGUUACUUUUAAGAACUCUUCACUACAUCCAACCCAACUCCAAGCCAAAUUCAAGCUGCUCUUCAAGGAAUGCCGACAAAAGUAACAUCAGAAAUGAAUGCCCAGCUGGAGAAGCCCUUCACUCCAAAGGAUAUAGAGGAGGCUAGGACAUAUGUGCCCCACAAAAGCCUCAGGUCCAAAUGGCUUAACUGCUGUAUUUUUUCAGAAGCAUUGGAAAUUAAUUCGCAAUAGAGUUGUUACAACAUGUCUUCAUAUCCUUAAUGAGCAAGGUAACCCGUCUCCUCUUAACCAUACUUUUAUCGCCUUGAUCCCUACAAUUGCUAAGCCUGGGAGAGUCUCUGAUUACAGGCCCAUAAGCCUUUGUAAUGUAAUUUAUAAAGUCGUAGUUAAGGCUAUUGCAAAUAGAAUGAAACUGAUCCUCUCCCAAAUCAUUUCUCCAAUGCAGAGUGCAUUUAUAACCAAUAAACUCAUUAUAGACAUCGUUAUUAUUGGUUAUGAAUGCCUCUAUAAGAUAAGACACUAUAAAUGGAAGAGGAACGAUCUUGUGGCUCUUAAGCUAGAUAUUAGUAAGGCGUAUGAUAGACUUGAGUGGUCUUUUUUUAAUCAAACAUUGUUAAGGCUGGGUUUCUCACCUAAUUGGGUGGAUUUGAUUAUGAGGUGUGUCUCUACUGCCUCACUCUCGGUGAUUAUUAAUGGUGUGCCAAAGGGAAUGAUUCAGCCGGAAAGAGGUCUGAGGCAGGGCUGCCCGCUAUCUCCAUAUCUCUUUAUCAUCUGUGCUGAGGCGUUCUCCAAUAUGCUGGUGAAGGCGGAAAAGAAUCAGCUAAUCCAAGGUCUGAAAUUUGCAAAAGAAGUCUCAAUUACCCACUUGCUAUUUGCGAAUGAUAACCUGGUUUUUUAUCGUGCUUCAGUGGCUGAUUGUAAGCAUCUGAAGGAGAUUUUCGACAACAAUCCAACUGCUAUUAAAGACAUUUUCAAGUUAAAUGUGGUCUCCAAGCAUGAAAAAUACUUAGGCCUCCCCUCAAUGAUAAGAAGAAAGAAGCUAAGCUUUUUCGAUGAAGUAAAGCUAAAAGUUUUAAACAAGAUCACAUGGUGGCAGCAGCUAAAAGUUUUAAACAAGAUCACAUGGUGGCAGCAUAAAAGGUUUUCGAGUGGGGGUAAGGAAAUCUUUAUUAAAGCGGCAGCCCAAGCUAUCCCAGCUUACGCAAUGAGUGUGUUCAAGCUUCCGAGAGGUCUUUGUGAUGACAUUCAACGGGCUAUAGCGAAGUUUUGGUGGGGAACGAAGGAAGUUAAGCAAGGUAUCCAUUGGUUAAAAUGGGAAAAGCUCAGCCAUGCAAAAAACAGAGGUGGGAUGGGAUUUCGGGAUUUUACUAGCUUUAACUAAGCCUUGGUGGCAAAGCAAGCUUGGAGGUUUUUGCAGUACCCAAAUUCUCUGGUCUCAAGAGUCCUUCAAGCAAGAUAUUACAAGAACUCCAGCUUUCUAGGUGCAUCAGUAGGGUCCAAUGCUUCAUUCAUCUGGAAAAGCAUUCUUUGGGGCAGAGAAGUAAUCAAGAAAGGUUUUAGAUGGCGGGUGGGCAAUGGCAAGAACAUAUAUGUUUACAAGGAUAAUUGGCUGCCAAGGCCGGAUACGUUCAAGCCAAUCGCCCCCCUACUUUGCGAGCAGACAUAGUGGUGGCAAACCUAAAUAAGGAAGAUAACCAUUGGGAUGAAGACAAUUUGAACUAACACUUUAUGAAAGUAGAUGCAGCAAUGAUUCUUAAGAUUCCUCUCCUAAAAGAACAUUUGGAUGAUGAUGUUUUAUGGCAUUAUGAUAAAAGGGGAGAAUACUCGGUCAAAAGUGGGUACCAGCUAGCCUUAAGAAUGAAAUUUCCAAAUGCUCCUAGUAGCUUAGAGAGCAUGUCUCAGUAUUGGAGUGCCCUUUGGUCCCUGGAGCUACCUGAAAAAAUAAAAAUAUUCAUGUGGAGGGCAUCAAACAAUUUGCUCCCAUCAACAGAAAAUAUGUGGAAAAGAAAAGUCAUUCAAGAGCCAACUUGUCAAAUAUGUAGAAAGAGCAUAGAAUCUAUAAGCCACGCCUUAUUGGAGUACAAGGCAGCAAAAUCGAUCUGGCUACAAUCUCCCUUUACAGUUCCAAGCUUUAAAGAUCAUUCUCAGGACAUUUUUAGCAUUUUGCAAGGAAUGGCCAAUGAGUUAAGGAAAGCUGAUUUGGAAUUAAUGGUAGCUUUGUGUUGGGCUGUAUGGUUUUCUAGAAACAAAUUUAUUUUCGAAGGCAAGAAGAUAGCCCUCAAUAUCUCAACUGCAAAGGCAAAGUCUAUUUUGGAUGCAUUUCAAAGAGUAAGGAAGACAUACCCCUCUCAUAUUGCCUACUCCAGUGGAGAGAAGCUGCAGAAGUGGAUUCCCCCCCCUCCCCGAAAAUGUCUUCAAAGUUAAUGUCGACGCUGCCAUUAAUGCCAAGGAUCAGACUACAUGAGUGAGAGUAGUCAUCAGAGGAACAAACGGCAAGGUAAUUGCAGCUGGCAUCAAUCAAUCUUCUCUAAAGGGAACGGUAAGUAAUGUAGAGGCCGAGGCUAUGUUAUGUGGAAUUCAAGUGUCGAGAGAAGCAAAUUUAGCCUCCUUGAUCAUUGAGUCAGAUUGCUUAGAGUUGGUCCAGUUAGUAAACAACACUAAGGGUAGCAAAACAAAAAAAUUUUGGACAAUUCUAGAGAUCCAAAAUUAGUUGAAGGAUUUUCAUAAAGUUUCAGUCCAUCAUACUCCAAGAUAAUGUAAUGCUUAUGCCCAUUCCUUAGUUAAGUUAGCUUUGGGGAGAAACUCUUCUUCUAUCUGGUUAGGAACUAUCCCAACUAAGAUUCAAGUUGUAUUUGAUGUAUUGUGAUUUGUGAAAGGUUUACUUUCUUUUUUUUUAAAAAAAAGCACCACACAUGUACUAAGCAUUCAUGCAUACCUACAAAUCAGUGGCAGCAUAGUAAUUGGCAUAGCAGUUUGCAUGACAAGAUACACAACACAGUAGACUCACCAGACAACACACACACAACAGUAGUCACUGACUCACCAACGCAACUGCAUGAAGCCAGGCCAUCGUGAGUCUAUGACAUGCUGACACAAUACACCAUGACCACUGCUGCAACUUGCUCCACCUUGAUCGAUAGCCAUUAAGUUCCUCCAACUUACUUUUUUCAAUGAACAUUACUAUACUAUAUAUAUUAUAUUAAAUAAUUAAUUUCCAAAUUUCUAUUACGUUUAUAACUUUUCAAGUUCAAUGAUUUUUGUAUGCUUAAUAAGACUACUCAGCAAGAAAAAGUCACAAUUUAUCCAUGAUUUUAGUUAGAAUUAGUAAUUUAGUGAAUAGGAGUAUAGAGAUCAUAUUUUUUAAUUUUAAUUUCAAUACAAAUCAAACCCUAUAAAUUUAUAUAAGAAAAUGUAUGUUAAAAUUUUAUUCCUAAAUAAUCAUCAUGUAAAAUUCCGUUUCAUUGUUUUUUGCUUAGAUUGAGACUAAUUAAUUUAUUAAUUGAAAUUGUAUUGUUAAUUAUUUUUAGCACAAUUAUCCUAGUCUUAUUAUUAUUUGUGAUUUUUAAAGGAAAAGCUAUUUAUCCCGAAUUUGCUCCUCGAAUCUGCGCCCCGAAAUCAAAACACACCGUUUACUUUUUUCUCUCUACACGUGUUGCUUCAUUUUGCCUUCACUUUCUACUUCCUUGCUUUCACUUUCCACUUCUCUAGUUAGGCCCGUAAAGCAAGGUAAACAUUUUGCUUUCACUUUCCAUUUCUCUUUCCAGUUAGCAGCACUCUUUUUCUUCAGGCCUGUAAAGCAAGGUAAACACCACUUCUCUAGUUAGGCCCGUAAAGCAAGGUAAACAUUUUGCUUUCACUUUCCAUUUCUCUUUCCAGUUAGCAGCACUCUUUUUCUUCAGGCAGAUUCGUUUGUUAAGUCAGGAGGAUUUCAUUCCAUUUUUGGUUUCAAAUCCACUCAACCACGCCACUUGCAUCUUAAUUCAAUCUCUUUUUUUCCCCUCUUCCCUCAACUCUUGAUCGAUGGUUCGUUCUCUUACUCUCGUUCAAUUUUCGUUAUUGUGUUUGAUGCAUGUAUCAUCAUCUGAUACAAAGAAGGAAAUAACAAAGAAUGAAAAAAAUAGCAAAGCAAAGUAAAAUUAGCAGACCACAGCUGGACACAACAAAUUUUCUAGUUAGGCCCACACGUUGACUGAAGAAACACGUGAAGAAACAACUUUGCUUUUGCUUUUUCUUUCCCCAGCUUUUUCCUUUCCUUUAUAUAAAGCAAGAUAAUGGACCCGUGAUUAACUCAGAGCAAACGGUGCGUUUUGAUUUCGGGGUGCAAAUUCGGGGUAAAUAGCAACACUCAUUUUUAAAUGUACUGAGGAUGUUUGAGAUUGUGAGUGUUGUGGUGAUAUUUUAAUAGUUUUAUGUUUUGAAUUAAUGAUGACUAUUCAUUUUUUUGUAUGUUCAAGUGACUAGACACUCAAGAUUAAAUUUCACAAUUGAUGAUGAGGAACAAAGUGAACAACUAAAAGGAAAUCAAAAAGGGAGGGAAAAGGCGAAGCAGGCGAAAAAUACAGCAAAUGAAAAAAAAGAUUUCUAAUGUGGAAUCAUCUCACUUUAUUUAAGGACAAUUCAAACAAAUGCUAGUGCAACUAUUGUGGUAAACACUAUCAAUGCCAUUCAAGGCAUGAGGAGAUUACCAAUCUGAGAAAUAAUAUAAAAAUUUAUAACAUAUACAAGACAUUCCAACAACAACAAGAUGAAAAUCAGCAGAAGUUGAUAGUUGAGGAUGGUGAAGGAAUUGCAAGUAACAUGGUUUUGGCUAAACGAUAGGAUGAGUGGAUGACAAGUGGUUCAAUUAUUUGUUUGAUACAUACAUGAAUGAUCUAUAUUCCAAGUUCCAACAGUUGCAUUCAAAUUCACCAAUAGCAAAAAAGAAAAGAAAAGAAAAGUAAAUCAAUAUCUUUGCAUAAAUUUGUAAUUUUUUAAUUUACUUUUUCUCUUCAAUUCUUCUCUAGGCGAUCCAUCCUCCAACUUCGAAUACAAGAAGUUGAAGUUAGAACUUGUCCAAAUAUUUACGUGAAGGAAGGUUAUUUAAUAUUUAUGUUUAGAUUUUGUUGUUUAAGAAACAAUUUAUUUUUAGACUUUGUAUUGGAAACUAUUUAAUUAUAUUUAAACUUUGUGAUCUUUGUGUUUUGAAGGCUAUUUAUAUUUGAAUAUCGUGCUUUGGGUGGAGGCUAUUAAAUUUAGAAUUUGUGUUUAUUUUAAUUUGUAUACAUUUGAUUUUAAUGGUAGUAGACUAGUAGUUUUCAUUUUUUUUUUAGAAUUGGUAAAAACAGACUAAAAUGAGAUAAUUAUAUGAAAAUAAUUUUCUAGUAACUACAUAAUUUGUAAAGAAAACUCAAAAUAUACAAAAUAAAAGCUCAAAAUUGCCCAUGACUCGAAUCGACCCAAGUCCAAUUUUAAACCGAACACAAUUCGAUCCGUUUAUAAUCCUAGCUCAGUCAACUUGAACUAAACCCGAACUUUUGAUCUAAUCCGAAUACAUACGGAUUAGAUUAGAUCAUAUUCCAGUUCGGAUUGAGUUUGAAUAACUUUUUUCUCAAUCCAACUAACUCGAAAUCCGAUUGGAUUGAUUCAAACCCAAUUGUGCCCACCCCUAUUCAAUAUGGAUGCAAUUGCAUUGUUGUGAUUCUUACGCAACACUUGUCGAACUACAUCAUUAUAUACAAUGUUAUGAACUACUUGGGUUAUAUUGGAAGAAAUAUGAACACGUGGAAAAAUCAGCAACCGCUGUCAUAAGUAUCCUAUUUUGGUAACUAGUACAAUAGAAUCACUUGCAAUCCAUUCUGCAGUUUCCCCAUUUUGGCAUAAAUUUCCCUACCAACAGUCAGGGAUGUCCACACAAGCUUGCUCGUUCUGUGCCAGGAUCCUUUGCAAAGUAAGAAACAUGUAGCUCCUUUUGAAGAAGUGAAAAAAAAAUCAUAUCUAAGAAAUAUAUGGGCUGAUGGAAAUAUAUAAUGAAGUAUCCGGGUUUCUAAGGGAAAUAUGAAUAAGAGAAUUAGGACUCAUUAUUUAUCUCGUUGGACAACUUGAAUUUAAUUCUGUUUCACUUUCAUUUUUGUUUCUCGUAAAUAUUUAUCUUGAUUUAUAGAUAUGGCCUUUGCAUAUACAAAUGAAUUAAAUACCUGAUAAAAAAAGAUACAUCAUUAAUCAUCCACAUAAAUUUUAAGAAAACUUGAUUUUUCGAUGAUUAUGUACCUGUGUUUCUAAGGGCACUAUCACAUAUUUUUGUCAAAGAAAUACCAAUAAGCAAACAUACCUAACACCUAGUGUUAUAUACAAAUGAAGACCCUUCAAUAUAUAAUUAUUGCAAUAUGGCAAAAUUUUAUAAAAUAAAAUUUAUAUAUAUGAUUAUUUCUGAAGAUAGCCAGCUCACCAUUACUUGUUUCGUUCAUGCUUUCAUUCGAAUGCAAAUCCUUAAAAAAAAGGAUGUGAAUUAGAGUAACUUGAUUUCUUAAAAAAAUUAUGAAUAUCCUUUAGCAUAAUACACUCUUUUGUAAUUUUAACUUACAUUAUUUGCAGCAAGUUAGAGCAACCUUUAUUUGCGUGCACAUUACUGAAAUGUUAAAUUGAACUUGUGUACAAGCACAGUAAGUUGCAUACAUUUGUCAAGUACUUUCCAAUUAUGGUCUAGUUUGGGGUUUGAGGUUGAGCAACUGUAACUUAAAAGCUAGUAAGCACUAGCUGUUGUAACUUAGAAACUAAGUUAAUUUGAUUUUAUACUUGUAUGAUAAAAAAAUUUAUUAUAUAUAUUUACUAAUUUUGUUAAAAAAAAUUUUUAAAUUUUUUUUUACUACAUAUUACUAAGACCAUUCAUACAACAACUAUAAUUUAAAAGUUGGAACACCUUAAUAUGAAAUAAGACCUAUAUGAGUUUCUGAUUCGAUUAAGACCAUUUUUGCAUGAAGUGAAAUCCAAAGCAAGCUACCUAUAGCAUCUUUCACGGCAACACUUAUACCUCCAAAACAAGUUAUGAUAAUACUCAAAUGCUUGAUUACAAGUGGGAAAGGUUGGAUUUGCCAUGACUACUUUUGGAACACUCAAAUUCUUCAUAAAAGUAAAACUAAUAAAAUGAAAUUUUUUCGAUGUUGAGAGGGCAAAGAAUGGCAAGAAGAGACAUAUAUUUCCAUUGAAACUUUGCAAAUUCAAUGUCUUUUAGAUUGAGUGUCUUUUAUUUAAAAUUAUCAAGGAAGUUAAAAAUCGAGGGAGUUCAUUUAAGAGAGUGGGUGAGAGUGAGUAAAACUCCGAGAUUCAAACACAGGGUAGUUAGCAGGUAAAGAGCAAACUUGUUGUUCGUCAUCUAUGGACACAGAUGAGUUAAUAUGUAAAUGCAAAGCUAUUUUUAUAUGAGAUGGCAGUGAACGAAAGCUAUCAAUUAGAAGCGGAAUGCAAGGAAAAAGAGGACGUAUAAUGGAAAAUUCUCUAGUUGGAAAAAUUCUAUUGGCAAAGAGUGUCCACACGGAUGUGAUCAAAACUGCAUUAACACAAGCAUGGAAAACAACAAAAAAGGUGAAGAUUGAGAGCAUGAGAAACAAUAUUUUUCGGUUCAAAUUUGGGUUAGAAGUUGAUAAACAGAAAAUAAUGGCAGGAGAGCCAUGUCAUUUCGAUAGGGCUUUGAUUGUGUUGAAAGAACCCAGUGGAAUAGGAAACAUGAGAAAGGAAGAAUUCACGCAUACACUUUUUUGGGUAUGAAUUCACAAUAUACCCAUUGUUUGCAUAGAGAGAGACAAUGUUCAAAAGCUGGGAGGACUGAUUGGAGAGGUGUUGGAAGUUGAAAAUGAUGAUGACAGGGAGUGUAUUGGUUUGUAUGCAAGAGUCAGAAUAUCCAUUGACAUCACAAAGCCAUUACAGAAAAUGGUUGGAGCUAGAAGAAGAUGAUAAGGUGGAGUUGCCAGUAUUGUAUGAACGGCUCCCAGAUUUCUGCUUUUGCUGGGGUACCGUUUGGUACCAAUUUAAAGAGUGUGAAUCAUACAUGGGGCAACCAAAAAAAAAAAUUACCCUAUGGAGUGUACAUGAAGGCAUUGUCCAAAGUUGAAAAAACUAGGAUGAACAUGGGAAAAGAUAGAUGGAAUAAAAGGUUUGAGCAGCUCAAAAACGAACCAAAGGAAGCAGAACACCAUGGGAGAAGACAGGCAAAACAAAUUGGUUUAGACCCGUAUAAACAUGAACUCGAGUCAAACUAAUCUAUUUCGGGGAGAUCAUGAUAGUUAAACAAGGAAAAUUGGGGAGUAAUUAAUACAAAUGACUCUAGAACCAAGAAAUCAGAAAGACACGGUCAAAAGUAACCUAACAUGGCUGAUACCGAAAAUACAGCCGACAACUUAAACAAUCAUGGAAAAAAGAGAGAAAAAGUGGGAACAGAGAAUUGAGAGGGAAUAAAGUUAAAUUUGGUGCUAAAUUUGAAGCCAAAAUUAACUCUAAAUACAAGCCCAAAAAAAUAUCAAAGCAACUCAAGCCCAGAGAAGUAGUAUGUGAUGGACCGAAAACAAAAAAUGCUAGGCCUAAGAGAAAGAAGUGAAAGCUGCCAGCUAGAAGUGUAAGUAGCAAAGGACACACAAAAGAAGGGCUAAUUGUGGGAAAAAGACUAGGUUGUGGAGUAAUAAGGUCAAGCCCAAAUCAUAAAAAAAAAAAACCCAAAUCCUAAGCCCACAGAAAAACUCAAUAGUUAGAGAAAGCUCCUGCAAUACAUCUCCUCUUAGCUAUAAGCUCAACUGGGUUGUUUCAAGAAUGGAGAAAAUGUUAAAAACACAAACAAUGCAACUCAAUCGGCGGAGGCAGAACACCAACCCUGCCGACAGCUAUGAGGAUUCUAAGCUGGAAUGUCCAGGGGAUGGGGAAUGACCGGACGUUCAUAGUUCUCCAAAAAUUCCUCACAUGGUAUACGCCUCAAUUAAUGUUUCUAUGUGAAACUAAAUUGACAUCUGUACACAUGGAAAAUGUUGGCAAGAAGCUGAAGUUUGAAAAUUAUUUUUGGGUUAGUAGAGGUGGUAAGAAUGGGGGUCUAGCUAUGCUUUGGAAUUCAGCAACAAGGGUAGAUAUUACCUCUUUCAGUAAACACCGCAUAAAUACUGAGGUAGAACUGAAAGUGGGAAGUAGAUGAGAUGCACUAGAAUCUACGGGCACCUAGAAACGAGUCAGAAAAAACACACCUGGGCUUUAUUAAGGAGAUUAACAGGUUUAUCUUCACCCCUUUAGUUAUGCUUUGGCAAUUUCAAUGAGAUAAUGCACUUAGAUGAAAAAAAUGGAGGAAAAGACAUGGAGGUUCAUAUGAUUAAAGAGUUUCGAGAUGAUAUUCAGGAUUACAAUUUGAAAGAUUUGGGUUAUACAAGCCACCCUUUUACAGGUCUAAUAGGAGAUUUGGUAGCCACUUUGUUGAAAAACGUCUAGAUAGAUUUUUAUGUAGUAAUGAUUGGACAAAUUCUUUCCAAAACCAAGCUGCAAAAAAAUCUGAUUAUAUGGUGCUCAGACCACAAUUCGAUUUUGAUGGAAGUGAUAAGCAGAGCCAAUAGAAAGCCAUAUAAUAAAAGAACCUUUUCAAGAACCCAUUAUGAAGACAUGUGGAGCAACUAUGAUGAGUGUAAGAACAUUGUAAAGGAAGAAUCAGCCAAAGACUGGUAAGGGGAUAAUGCAAUGCAGUUUUUUAAACAAGCCAGUAAAUCUUCACUAACUGAAUUAAUACACUGGAGUAAGAAAACUUUUAAAGGAAGCAAGAAGAAAUUAGAGAAGCUGAUGAAUAAAAUAUAAGAGCUCCAGUAGGAAAGACAGUGGGAUAGGGGUGAAGAAUUGAUAAGCAUUGAGAGGCGGAUCCAUAACCUCCUUUUAGAUGAAGAGAUCUUUUGGAAACAGAGAGAGGUUUAGGGCUGAUUGAUUAAGGGAGGGAGAUAAAAACACCAAAUUCUUCCACUCAAAAGCUUCAUUUAAAAAAGAGGAAGAACAAAAUUCGAGGAGUUGAAGAUGCAUAGGGAAAAUGGGUAGAAGAAAAUAAAGAUAUUGAGAAAGAGUUCUGCGGUUACUUUGCAGAGUUAUUUUCAACUUCCAACCCUACUUAAGAUCAAAUAGAGUGUGCUUUGAAAGAAAUGGUCUCAAAAGUUUUAGCUUAAAUGAAUGAGUAUCUGACUCAACCAUAUACAGAGGAAAAGAUAAUGGAGGCUCUAAAUCAAAUGUGUCUAACCAAGACACUAGGCCCUGAUGGGCUACCGGCUGCCUUUUAUUUGAAGCACUGGCCAUUAGUUAACAUCACCACAUGUCUUCACAUCCUCAAUGAAGCAAGUAACAUUGCUCCUUUGAACCACGCAUACAUUGCUUUAAUUGCCAAUAAUGCAAAGCUUAGGAAAGUGACUGAAUUUAGACCAAUAAAUCUUUGUAAUUUCAUUUAUAGGAUUGUUGUAAAACUAUUGCAAAUAGAUUGAAAACUAUCCUACAUGUUGUAAUUAAGUCUUCGUAGAGUGGUUCUAUCCCCAACAGAUUGAUAAUGGAUAAUAUCAUUGUUGAGUAUGAAUGCCACCAUAAGAUUAGGCAUAACAAAGGAAAAAAAAAAUGGCUUGGUGGCUCUGAAGUUAGAUAUCAACAAAGCUUAUGAUAGGGCAUAGUGGGAUUUUUUAAAGGAGACAAUGAUCAUAUUAGGUUUUGCUAAGAAGUUGAUAAAUUUAAUUAUGAAUUGCAUUACUACGUCAUACUUUUCUAUAAUCAUAAAUGGAAUACCAAAUGGCAAGAUUAUUCCUAAAAGGGGCUUGAGGCAGGGAUGCCCUUUAUCUCCUUAUCUGUUUAUAAUAUAUGCAGAUGCUCUUUCAAAUUUGUUGAUUCAGGCUGAGAAAAGCAAGUUAAUACAUGGGUUGAAAUUUGGACAACAUAUCUCUAUUUCUCACCUCUUAUUUGCAUAUGACAGCCUAAUUUUUUUUCCAAAGCCUCAAUUAAAGAUUUCCAGCAUUUAAAAGGUUUGUUCGAUUGCUAUGCCACUGCCUCUGGCCAAAUUUUUAAUUUUGAAAAGUCAUGCAUGUUCUUCAGCGACAGUGUCUGUGCAAACCAAAUUUCGGCCAUUAAAAGAAUAUUUCAGCUCAAUGUGGUAACGAAGCAUAAGAAGUACUUGGGGUUGCCCUCAAUGAUAAGGAGGAAAAAGAAAAUUUUCUUCAAUAAGAUUAAGCUAAAAGUCUAGAGCAAGAUCUCUAGUUGGCAACAGAAACUUUUCUCGAGUUGAGGAAAAGAUGUCCUGAUAAAAGUAGUGGCACAACCAGCUUAUGCAAUGAGUGUCUUCAAGAUACCUAUUGGUCUGUGUGAUGAUAUUUAGUGAGCAAUAAAAAGAAGGAAAAAAAGGGGCAUCGUUUGGAUCAGAGGGGAGAAGAUGAGUCAAGCUAAAAUUUGAGGGGGAAUGGGCUUUAGAGACAUAUCAAGUUUUAACCAAGUCAUGGUAGCUAAGCAAGGAUAGAGAUUGAUUCAAAAUCCAGAUUCCCUUGCAGCUACUGUUUUAAAGGCUAGGUAUUUUCAAGAAGACUGAUUUUCUAAAUGCUUCAAUGGGGCCAAACCCAUCUUAUAUUUAGAGAAGCUUACUUUGGGGUCGACAAGUAAUUCUUAAUGGAUAUAGAUAGAGAAUUGGUAAUGGGUAAAACAUCUUAGCCUACAAAGGAAAUUGGAUUCCAAGACCAUCCACUUUUUCAAACCGUUUCCUAGUCCAAGGAUGCCUUUCGAUGCUAUUGUUUCAGAGUUGAUAGACAAUGAAAGCAGAUGGAAGACUGACUUGAUCCAAAAGAUGUUUUUAAAGGAAGAUGUAGAUGCAAUUCUCAGCAUUCCUUUGCCAAAAGGACAAAGCAAAGGACAAGCCAUCUGGCAUUACGACAGAAAGGGGAAAUACUCGGUCAAUAGUGGAUACCAAGUGGCUAUACAUAUGAAAUUUUUGAAUUCACCAAAUUGCUCCAACAGUAAAGGCAGAAAUUGGAAUAUCAUAUAGACCCUUACCAUCCUAAAAAAGAUUAAGAUUUUCAUUUGGAAAGUAAUUAAAAACUUACUACCGACAGCUGAUAAUUUGUGGAAGCGUAGAAUUAUUCAGGAAGGUCACUGCAAGCAUUGUAGAAAUAGAGUGGAAAAUACUAUGCACGCCAUGGUCACUUGCAAAGCAGCAAGAAAGGUUUGGCAGCUUUCAUCAAUGGUGAAUGCAAUUCAAUAGAUGAGAAAUGCAAACCUCUUGGGGGAUUUGAUGAUGCUUCAGAAGAAAUUAAGUAAAGCUGAACUUGAGCUUGUGGCGUCAAUGUGGUGGGUGAUUUGGCAUGCUCAGAAUAAAUUUGUAUUUGAAGGUGUAAAGUUGGAUCAAGGAUUGCAAAUGGCCAAAGCUGAAGUAGUCAAUGAAGUUUUUAGAAGAACAAAAUUUCCGGAGAUGUUGAAUCUAGGAAAAAUGCAGAAGGAAAAACCAAAAUCUUGGACCCUUCCACCCGAUGGAUGGCUAAAGAUAAAUGUUAAUGCAACUACUGACACCAAAAGACAAUGCUCGGGAUUGGGAGCAAUAAUCAUAGACUCCACUGGAAAGUGCUUAGCUGCAGCUAUAAAAACCUCAAGGUUUAGGAGAGAUGUAACAUAUGUGGAAGUAGAAGCAGCUGAGUAGGGCAUCAAAAUAGCACAUGAAGCAGGUCUACAGUCAGUUAUCCUAGAAACUAAUUCUCAUGAAGUACCAGAAUUGAUAAACAACAGAGAAGGCAGCCUAACAGAAAUAUAUUUGGUCAUUGCGGAAAUUCAAGACUUAAAGAAGAAUUUCAAAGCCUUUAAAGCACAAUAUGUCCCUAUUAUUAUUUUUUUGUAUUUUGUCUAAGUGAACAUUCAAACAUAAUUUAUUUUUAAAUUUCAAAAUUCUUUACUUUUAUAUGAUAUAUAUCAUAAUAAUUCAAAAAAGAAAAUUGUAUGUAUUCUAUCUCUAAAAUAAAUUAAAAAAAAAUUACAAACUAUUAAGAUAUAAUAAAUUAUUAUUAUUAUUAUUUUACUGAUGAUGAUAAUGACAACUACGACGACCAUGAUGAUGAUAUACGAAUAAAUAUUUGCUUUAAUAUUUUUUUUAAAAAUAUUUGUUAAGUAUAAAACUCUACUCAAGUCGAAUAAAUAUAUGCUUCAAUACACUUGAGAUAUGGCUAAAUGUCAAAAACAACCACAAACAUGAAAAACUGGAUGCAAUAGUCCUUUCGUUUGCAAAAUGUUCGAUAGAACCUUUUGUCUUAAUUCGACAAAAAUAUAAAAUAAAUUAGGAUUACGAGGUGGUUAAAAGACUACGAAUACAUUAAUCUUUUAUUAAAAAUUAUAAAUACGUUAAUCUUUUAUUAAAAAAUCAUAAAGACCCACAAUAUAUAGUACUCCGAUGCUAUUAUUUUUAUAGUGAGUGGUCUAAUGGUUAUAAUUCCAACUUCUUAUGGUUAAAUUUGUAAUUUCCUGGAUAACUUUGUCGGUUCAUUUGAUGACAAAGAUGAACUUGGACAUGUUUUCGUUUCAAUUAAGAGGGAUGCAUCAUUUUCUUUAAUAGUUUAUAAUAUUGAUUAUUGACCAUGGGGUGGUUUCUUUCUUUCUUUUAUCUUUUUUUUUUUUUAAUUUAGCAUUGACGUGUAGAACUUUAAUAUAUAGCAUGGGGUGGUUUCUUUCUUUCUUUUAUCUAAUAGUUUAUAAUAUUGAUUAUUGACCAUGGGGUGGUUUCUUUCUUUCUUUUAUCUUUUUUUUUUUUUAAUUUAGCAUUGACGUGUAGAACUUUAAUAUAUAGGUUCUGUAAUGGAAAAGAUUAUAAGAAAGACGACUCGUUAGUGUAAAAAUAGAAAUACUUGCGACUUAAAAGUUAAAACUAUAGAAUUCAUCAAUAAUGAAAUUUUAGUCAUGUAGUAUUUGUAAUAUAUCUUUAACAUAGAUAACUUUACAAUCUAAAAAGAACUCAUUUUUCUAUUUUAAUGUUUUGUAAUGUCUUCACUGAGAUUCGCAGCUGAAAAUAUACGCUUGUUGAAAAAUCUUAUAAAUAAGUAAAACAGAAACUAUAUAUUAUGAUGAGCAAAAAGGUUUGAUAAAUUUAUAAUAAAAUCUAAUUACCUUGAUUGAGAUAAUAACUAUGGAAAAUAGACCACUAGUGAAAGGGACAAGGUAGCACUUUUACUGGGCGAAGGAAAUUUGGGAAAGCGGAAAGCGACUAAUUAAAAAAUUAUAACAAAAACUUUCCAUGUGGAGUAAUUUUUUUUAUAAUUAUUUUAGGGAAAUAAUAAAAAAUUUCCUAAUAAAGAAGAGAUCCCUUCAACUAAUUUCAAUAUUUUGAGUCUUGACAAAGACAGAUCACUUCCGUUUGAGUACAUUAUAGAUUAAUUUGUCAUUGCUGAAGUCACUCCAAUUAUAUGAUGUUUUGAUAUUCUUAAUUAAAACCAAUUUCAUGUUUCUUUAAAUAUAAUUUUUAAUUCUAUUUUACUUUCUUUGUUGGUACUACUUGAUUUUUAAAUCAUUUAAUUAUACAUAUUUUUUAGGCACCCUAAACUUUCAUUCCAUUAAAUAGAAUUAUUACAAUCAAUCAGUACAAUCAGCACAAUAACUUAGGGUUAUUCUACUAAUAAUGUAACUUUUAAAAUACUAUGCGUUUUAAAAAGUAUUAUGGGUUUUAAAAAUAAUUGUAUGUGUGCUAAGUUUUAUUGCUAAAUUGCUAUAAGAAUGUAAACGAUUGAACUAGACUUAAUGUUAAAUUGAUUUUGUUUGCUUAACCCUACUUGAAGUUAUAUUGGUUUGCAUUUGUCCACCACCAUGUUGUUGUGAAAUGAUAAUUUUACCCUUAUGAUGUUAGCAAAGUUCUAACGGUGUUAUAACGAAAGUGGACCAAUGAAAAAAAAUAUUAACUUCAAGUGGAGCGCUGUAAAAAAAAAAAAAAGAUUUGCGUAUUUUUAAAAAAUGGUGAAAAAACGGAUGGACGGUGGAUAAUUUCCCUUCUGGAUAAUUAUGAAUGAGAAUAAUAAUAGGGAGAUAUCUAAAAAUUAGGCUUUCUUAUAUAUGCAACUUAAAUAACAUCUUUAACUAUUAACUUUUAAAAAUUAUUUUUAAACUUCUCAACAAUAAUUCCAAACAGCCCUUAGAAUCUCAUUAUUAAAAAUAAAAGCAUAUUGGUUAGUUGUUCAAAGACAGGCAACAGCAGCCGGCUACGUACUUGCAAACGUCACGUGCCAGCUAUUAAAAGCAUUUUAAACAUAUGUGAACAUUGAAUCCAAUGGCAAUGGAGACUGAUUCGCCCCUCGUGGAAUUUUUUUAUAUUCCAAAACGGUCGACCCAUUCCGAUCUAUAAAUACCCAAUUGAACCCUUCCGUUUCUUUAAUCAUUUUAUUUUCAGUCGCGUUAAGGAUUCUCAAUUUGCUUGUAAUUCUACUAAACAUGGGAAGCAGAGCAGAGGAGACUAAGCAAAAUCAAGAAGAGAACAACGGUAACAUGGCCAUUGAAACUCCCAUCAUCCCUCUUCUCACUCCUUACAAUAUGGGCAGUCUCAAUCUUUCUGAUAGGUACCGAUUGUACCCACCUUUUAUUUCAUUGAGUUUUUUAUUUUUAUUUUUUUGGAUUUACAUUUUCUUUCGCUGUAUGGAUUUUUGUAUGGCGUUAACUUUAUUGACGAAAGUGAUAUCUGCCAAAGUACAUUUGAGUGGCGAGCAUUCACAUCAUGAGCACUCAGAUUCUCACUGUUUAUCCAGGGCUCAGCGCAAACGCAGUGGACCACUGAAUCCUUGUCCAUUUAGAAUGAAUGGAUUAGUGAAUAUUUGGAAUGGAUUAGGAAAUAUUUGGGAUUUAGUUACUGUGGUUUUUAAUUCACAGUCUCUAUGUGGAGUGAAUCAGUAGCUAUCGAGUAAAACUGUUGGUGUUUACGGAACACUUUUUAACUGUCCUUUUUUGGUAAUUAAGCAGAAGCACGCCCGGUUAUUAACUUAUAAUACCCUUAACUGAUUUGAAUGUAUGAUCUGAUUUAGUUUCUGUAUCUUCUUUGUAUUUGUUCGUUUGGUCUAUGAUCUGACUGAGAGUGUUACAGAGGCAGUUUAAGUGUAAUGUUGCAAUUUUAUGGGUUUUUUUCUUUUGAGUUUGAGUUAUUGGUGAUGGGGCUAAUUGAAUUGCGGCUUGCUUGUUUUGUUUAUUUCAGAGUUGUUUUGGCACCACUGACUAGACAGAGAUCAUACAACAAUGUUCCUCAGCCACAUGCCAUUUUGUAUUACUCUCAAAGAACCACCAAAGGGGGUUUGCUUAUAGCCGAAGCCACUGGAGUUUCCGACACUGCUCAAGGGUAAUUUUACAUCCGUUUAACUGUUUUAAGAGUUUUUUGAGGCAUUAAAUGGAUAAGAAAUUGUAUGUUUGAGUUUCGAAAGCAUUACCUGUAUUUAGUUGCUUGAAAAUCUUGUGUGUUCUGUUGUUUCUUUUAUUGUAAGGUAUCCAGAUACGCCUGGUAUCUGGACAAAGGAGCAAGUUGAAGCAUGGAAACCGAUUGUAGAUGCUGUUCAUGCCAAAGGUGGGAC